UACGUAGGGUGCAAGCGUUGUCCGGAAUUAUUGGGCGUAAAGAGCUCGUAGGCGGUUUGUCGCGUCUGCUGUGAAAUCCCGAGGCUCAACCUCGGGCCUGCAGUGGGUACGGGCAGACUAGAGUGCGGUAGGGGAGAUUGGAAUUCCUGGUGUAGCGGUGGAAUGCGCAGAUAUCAGGAGGAACACCGAUGGCGAAGGCAGAUCUCUGGGCCGUAAGCUGACGCUGAGGAGCGAAAGCGUGGGGAGCGAACAGG
rnacentral:rRNA from 1 species